rnacentral:rRNA from 1 species
GACGGAGGGUGCUAGCGUUGUUCGGAAUCACUGGGCGUAAAGGGCGCGUAGGCGGCCUUGCAAGUCGGUUGGUGAAAGCCCGGAGCUCAACUCCGGAAUUGCCUUUAAGACUGCAUCGCUAGAAUUGUGGAGAGGUGAGUGGAAUUCCGAGUGUAGAGGUGAAAUUCGUAGAUAUUCGGAAGAACACCAGUGGCGAAGGCGACUCACUGGACACAUAUUGACGCUGAGGUGCGAAAGCGUGGGGAGCAAACAGG